CGAGCGAGACCCACGCCAACAGUUGCCAGCUCGUCCUCCGGGGAUGGUGGGGACACUGUUGGGACCGCCUCUGCUAAAGAGGAGGAAGGAAUGGGGCAACGGUAGGUCAGCAUGCCCCGAAUUAUCUGGGCUACACGCGGGCUACAAUGGGUGGGACAAUGGGUAUCGACACCGAAAGGUGAAGGCAAUCUCCUAAACCCAUCCGUAGUUCGGAUUGUGGGCUGCAACUCGCCCACAUGAAGCUGGAAUCUGUAGUAAUCGUGUCUCAAAAUGGCACGGUGAAUAUGUCCCUGCUCCCUU
rnacentral:rRNA from 1 species